rnacentral:lncRNA from 1 species
GGGGGCUAAGGGGGAGAGGAGGGAAUGAGAGGGAAAAGGAUGAUUAGAGGGGAAGGAAGUGGAGCAGGGGAGAGGAAGGGAGGGGAGGGGAGGGGAAAGGAGGAAGGGAGGAGGGGACGGGCAUGUCCAUAUAACAACAAGAAGGACUGCUACCAAUAUUUUAUUUCCAGCUUUAAGCCCGCUCCAGAUUCAGGGCUGGAACUCUGCUAACACUGUCUGUCAGUUUCCUGUAAGGUUUCUGUCAAAGGGAGCACAAGAGAGCUGGGGAGGAGCCAGGACCUGUUCUUCCUGUAGGCUACCUCCCUGUGGGCUUCCUGUCUGUUGUUGGUUCCUAAGACAGGCAGUCACCUUGGCAGCAUCUCUCCACCUCACUCUCUCCCCCACAGCCACUGACAGCUCCUUCCAGGAGGCCUCCUGAACUCCAUUUUCUGUUGUUCUACUCUGUACACCCACUGCACCAGUCUUCAGGAUCUGCGUCUCACCUUUCCUAACUCAGAGAUCCCGGGGCCAGCCAGCCUUCACUGAGACUGUCACCUCCGUGGGACUCUACAUCUUCAUUUUGAAUUUUACUCAUUAUCAUCUCCUCACGUUGUUCCCAAAGCUCUGAAGUCGAUAGCUCCUCCUACUCUCAUCAUACCUCAAAAUCACUUCUGUAUCCUUGCAGGGUCCAGAAAUACCGGAAGCAAGAAAGGAAAAGCACAAAGCUUCCCUUCCAAGGUGCUCAUCAGGCGGGAGAAAGUGUGCAUCUAAGAUGCGUGGAAAGGAAGCAGCCACUGGAAACAUCCAAAGAGAACUCCUUCGAACAAGUAAGGGGAAGAGACGGAAGGCCUCCCCACCGAUUCCCACAACCGAGCUCCGCCCACCUUAUCGCAGCCUGCCCCAUCCACUCGAAGAGUUGUCUAAGCUCUACAAGUGCCAGGCGCUGCUGGGAAAGAGGGUAAAUAAUGGGCCGCAAACUCUAUUAUGCUUUUUUUCUUCACAUCUUAUAGAGGCUGUUGGAAUGAAGAAAAUAAAAAUUAAUGCAAGAGUGUUUUGUUGUUAUGCCUUUUAUGCCGUUACUGGACACUAAAAGAACAACCAGGAUUAUAAGAAAGGAUCCACCGAAACUUUUAAUAUGAUAAAGCAUUUCUGUGUCCAAAAGGAGGAAAACUUUUGUUCUGUUUUUUUCCAGAUAUUAAUGACAUAUCCUUAUAUAUUUCCUUUUUUUUUUUCUACUUAAAAGCAAUAAAUCUAGGAG